GCAGUAGCCGCGGGAAUACGGAGGGUGCAAGCGUUAAUCGGAAUUACUGGGCGUAAAGCGCACGCAGGCGGUCUGACAAGUCAGAUGUGAAAUCCCCGGGCUUAACCUGGGAACUGCAUUUGAAACUGUCAGGCUGGAGUCUUGUAGAGGGGGGUAGAAUUCCAGGUGUAGCGGUGAAAUGCGUAGAGAUCUGGAGGAAUACCGGUGGCGAAGGCGGCCCCCUGGACAAAGACUGACGCUCAGGUGCGAAAGCGUGGGGAGCAAACAGGAUUAGAUACCCCAGUAGUCCCUGUCUCUUAUAA
rnacentral:rRNA from 1 species